CGGGCCGAGAAACCCGGAAGUGAGGAGCACCACGUGGGACCGUGCGUGCCGCGUGAGUAACUGUGCAUCUGACCAGGUUGCUAAGCAACCUCCCCAACCAAUACACCUACUCCAGUAGUGUAUCCAAACAACGAUCGGGUAAGGCAAACCCGGAAGUGUGAAGCCCACGUGGGAACCUACAUAGAAGUGAAUGUGACCGGGUUGCUAAGCAACCAUACAAACACUG